rnacentral:rRNA from 1 species
UACGGAGGGUGCGAGCGUUGUCCGGAAUCACUGGGCGUAAAGGGCGCGUAGGUGGCGGAUCAAGUCAACGGUGAAAGCUCGGCGCUUAACGCCGAGUCGGCCGUCGAUACUGGCUCUCUCGAGCACUGUAGAGGCAGAUGGAAUUCCGGGUGUAGCGGUGGAAUGCGUAGAGAUCCGGAAGAACACCGGUGGCGAAGGCGGUCUGCUGGGCAGUUGCUGACACUGAUGCGCGACAGCGUGGGGAGCAAACAGG